UUUGUCUGGAGGAUUUAGGAGAGAUAGCAAUUGUAUUAUAUAACCCUCCAAGUAAUGCAACCAGAGGACCCAGGAUGGUUAAUAGGAAAAACUUGGGGAAUCAGAUACUGGGAACCUGGGACGGACAGGGGAGGGCUGAUAACAAUAAAAAAACAAGAAAUAACCCAACGCCCUCUGGCAAUAGGACCCAA